UUUGUUUCAUAAAAAGAAUCUGUCAUUUCUUAAAUUAGAUGGGUGCAGCAGGCUAUGAUGGUGUCAGUAUUAUCUCUACAGAGUUGAAUUCAAGUAGCUCUUCUGGAAGUGAUACAGAUGCCAAAGCUCCUCAACAAAACAUCGGAUCAAAGAAAAAAAAUUCUACCUGUGGAUGGCUUCAAUAAGAAAAAGG